GGAGCCGGACACGAUCCCUCCAUGACUCAUUCCUGAGGGAGGGAGGGAAGGAGGGACACAGGGACACUCCCUGGGGAACCAUUGCACCAGUCUGCUCUUACUGGGCACUGAAGGAGGAACCUGUUAUCUCCAGGCACCCACAGAUGUCAUUUGGAUGAGAAUGAGCAGCUGGGCCAGGAACAGAGACAGGAAGAGGUCAAAGUGUGCAGGACGUGAGGACACUUCUUGCUCAGCCACUUCUCAGUGUGGGAGCCAAUUCCAUGAGCAUUCCCAGCUAAUUGCAGGCAACAAAUGGGGAAGCACGGGCAGGACUUUGGGAACGGCACCAGCAGGAGCGAUGGAACUUCCACAGUCAACCCAGAAAGCUGCAAAAUGAUCAUAACAAUUAUUGAUUAUGAUUGACACAUUCUGGAAAGCAUUGAUCAGAGCCAUUCCUGGGCUCCCACCCUGUGUAUAGAGCAGGAAUAUCCUCACAGGAGCCUGGAGCAUCAGGAUGAGCUCCUGGCUGGAUGUCACACCCCAAAUCCCUUUCCUGGGCUUCCUCCAUGUCCCUCCCUGCUCUGUAUGAUCCUCCCAAAUGCAGAAUUUGCCUUCAAAGGGAGCUGGAUCCUUAAGGUCCCUCCCAAGCCAAACAAUUCCAUGGUUGGUGAUCCCCAGGGCAGCUUCCCUGAGCCUCCCAGAGUGGUGGGAGCUGCCCCUGCUCACUGGGAUUGCACUGGAUCCCUUUAAAGGUUCCUCCCAACCAAAUCAUGCUGGGUUUUUCCAUAGAACUGGGCUGUAAAUGAAUGGAUUCUUCACAAUAAUAAUAAUUCAAAAACAGUGCAAAUUCCUGCCCCAGAGGCGUGGGAAUAGGUAAAAUGGGCUGGGAAAAGACUGCAGUUAUUGAAAUGGGAAUGGUGCACCCCAAAGUCUCUCCUAUCCUUCUCCCCUCCCCUAUUUAUGGGUUAUUUGGGGAAGAGAAAGUCUUCAAGAUUCCAAAAUAUCCUCCCUGCAUUCAUUUUGUAUUAACAUUCCCAGUAGAUUGAUUUGAUUUUAUUUUUUAAGGAAUUUCCCCUGAUUUUGAUGAAGGCACAAGGAAAAAAACUGAAGCUGGGACAGCAGGAAAAAAAUCCCAGCAGAGGGAAGGGAGAUGAAGAAUGUUGGUGCAGAUGCAUCAAGGCACCAGCUUGGUCUGAAUGCCAAUAUCUGGGGUUUUCUGAUCAAUUCAUCACCAAGACAGGACAAACUGGACCAGCUCAAGCUGGGGCCAUGCAGAUAUCCCAGGAAAAUCCUAUCUUUCUGGUGGAGGAUGCUCCAUAACCAGUCAGCAUAUGGCAAAUUCCUAUUUCCAGGAUAAUUUAUCACAAAUUCCUUUGGAUCUUUUGUUUCAUCGGUGAGUGAUUAAAAAAUACAGGUUUCAUUUAAUUUUAAAAAAUCUAUUAUUUAGGCCCAAAAUUGCAGGGUUCUGCAUGAAAAAAAACACAUGUCCAGAUUUUAAAACAGUUCUAGGUUGCUUGUGUGGGUUUUUGUGGUGGAUUUUUCUGAAGAAAUCCUGUUUUGUUCAAAACUCCAAAGCCUCCAGCAUUAUAUCCAAGAGGUUCUUCAUGUUUUAUUCCCUUCUUUUUUUCACAUUUUUUUAGGAGAACUAUUUGAAAAUUUGGCUGGGGUGAAAAAAAGCAGAAUCACAGGAGCCCUGCCUGGCAUGAAAGUUCCUUUUCCUGGUAAAAUCCAGCCUGGAUAUGAUGAAGGCACAACCCCUUGGGGGAGCAGCCUCAUCCCAGCAGGAGAGCUGCAGGUGGGACUGGAGGCUGGGCUGUUCCCACUCCUGGGGCACAGCAGGAUUCCUGCCUUUCCAGGGCUUUUCAUCAG